AAUAGGCAAAGUUGGGAGGAUGCAAACUUCUCCAUUCUGUGUCAGACAUGUCUUAGGGAAAACCCAAAUAUGAAUAACCAAAGAAAAGUAUGAGAAAAAAAUUGAAAAUCUAUUCUAGGCUAUUCACAGUGUUUUGCUGGUAUCCUGGGAUCCACAUGCAUUUCAAGAAGACUGAAGUGUGCCAGGCCUGCAGGACAAUGAAGAGUGAAUGUCUUAGUCCUAGACUAUGGCCUGUCCAUUCAGGUUCAUGAUACAGAAUUGUCUUUAAAAGAUGACUUGCCAGAGUCAGACAUCAAUGAAGAGUACUACAUGCAGAAUAUAGACAAGCAAUUGUGGACUCUGAUGGAACAUGGUAAGUUGGCCUGCUGGAGAGAGUCACAUAUACCAGUGACACGCUGCUCAAACUGGCGCAGACCACAUGCUACUACCAAAGGAAUACGCACAUUUGCUCCUUCUGAGUGAAAGGAGAAUGUGAGGGAGAAGAGGAGGGUCCAUACAGACAUGAGAAGCCUACAGAUCCAGACGAUCCCCUUGCUGAUAAGAAUAUUAAAGACUGAAUCCAAUAUUAUGGAAUCAAUGACCCCGGAGCAGAUAAGCCUCUAAAGCAGGCUUCACCAUACCUUGUCUGGAUCCACCAGAGGACAAGGUUAUCACCACACUCUGUGUUGGUGAUCUCGGUGAUGCCAUUACUGAGACAGAUCUAAAUAAUCAUUUCUAAUUAUUUGACGAUCUGAAUGAUCACUGUUGUGCAGACAGUAGAGUGCUUUCCAUCCAGGUUUCCACAGGGCAGGCUGCAGAAGUGGCUGCUGAGAAAUCCUUUAAUAAGUUGAUUGUCAAGGGCUGCAGACUCGGUAGAAAACGGAGAGGAUCCCAAGCAGCCAGAGGGAAAGAAAAAGGACAGAACCACAGGUUGGGAUCCAGCUAACGCCUAUUCCAGCACUGCCAGGAACAGGAACUCUUCCUCCUCCUGCAGCAGCAGCAGCAGAUGUAUCUGCCAACCACAGCAACAUACCCCCACGUGCUCCUCCAGCUGUGGUGAGCAUUGCCUGGCCACCAGCCCCUGGCAUGUCCUGCUGCUCCCCCCAGGAUUUCAGCCACCCAUGUUCCAUCCAAUGGGACCAUUGCCUUCCUUUUGAGAGGACUCUAGGAUCAAUCCAUUGUGUUGGAUCCUGUGUUGGACUCCAGGAUCAAUCCAUCUCAGGACCCCCAGAGGAUGGGAGCUUGUUCUGGAAAUCACAGCAGCC
rnacentral:lncRNA from 1 species